CCGCCCCCCUACGGGAGGCAGCAGUAGGGAAUAUUGGGCAAUGGCCGAGAGGCUGACCCAGCCAUGCCGCGUGCAGGAAGAAGGCCUUCUGGGUUGUAAACUGCUUUUAUCUGGGAAGAAAACGCUCCUGCGGGGGUAACUGACGGUACCAGAUGAAUAAGCACCGGCUAACUCCGUGCCAGCAGCCGCGGUAAUACGGAGGGUGCAAGCGUUGUCCGGAUUUAUUGGGUUUAAAGGGUGCGUAGGCGGCCCGCUAAGUCAGUGGUGAAAUCCCAGGGCUCAACCCGGGAACUGCCAUUGAUACUGACGGGCUUGAGUUCGGUUAAGGCGGGCGGAA
rnacentral:rRNA from 1 species